CUUAUCUGAAGACUUUUGUCUCUUUGACACUCACUUGUCCUGUGACUGUGUCCUCUGGAACCAGAAUCUCUCACUCUACACAACACACGCCAAAACAAAACACUCGGCUUUACUUUACUACUUGAUUCCCCCAUCAUCAACCAAUCAUUGAUCCCACACGAACCCCAACAUGGCGGGGUGCAUCAGCUUCACCGCCACGCGCGACCGCUGCUUCCGCUUCACCUUCUCCAACGCAGGCCUCAAAUCCGCCACCACGGACCUCGGCGACGGCACCAUCAUGCACUGGUGGGCCCCCAAGGCCCCCAAGGACUCCAAGCCCAACCUCCUCCUCCUCCACGGCUUCGGGGCCAACGCAAUGUGGCAGUGGAACGACGUCCUCUCGCACGCGCCGCUUCAACGUCUACGUCCCCGACCUCGUCUUCUUCGGGGACUCCCACACGACCCGCCCCGAACGCUCCGAGGCCUUCCAGGCCCAGUGCGUCGCGGCCCUCCUCCUGGCCCACGGGCUCCAUACAACCAGCGUUGUCGGGAUAAGUUACGGCGGCUUCGUGGCGUACAGCCUGGCGGCGCAGUUUCCGGAGCUUGUGGAGAAGGUGGUGCUAUGCUGCGCCGGGGUGUGCUUGGAAGAUAAGGACUUGGAUGAAGGGAUGUUCCAGGUGAAAACUGUUGAUGAGGCUGUGGAUAUUUUGCUGCCGCAGACGCCGGAAAAGUUGAGGCAGCUCGUGCAAAUCGCGUUUGCCAUGCCUGUCAAAGCCAUUCCCACUUGCUUCCUCAAUGAUUACAUUAACGUGAUGUGUACUGAAAACCGCCAAGAGAGGAAAGAAUUAAUCGAAACAUUACAUAAGGAUAGAAAACUAUCUAAUCUUCCUAAGAUAACCCAGCCUACGUUAAUAAUCUGGGGAGAAAAGGACCUGGUAUUCCCAAUGGAACUAGCUUAUAGACUACAAAGGCAUUUGGGAGAGAACGCGCGACUAGUGGUUAUUAAGAAUGCAGGGCAUGCUCUCAAUGUACAGAAGCCCAAGGAGAUGUACAAGAAUUUAAAAUCCUUCCUCAUUGAUCCCACUACUCCAACUGUGCCAAAAAACCAAAGUAAUGGUACCUAAGUGGAUUAGCAGAGAAAUGGAAGAUAUUUACAUUCAUUUUUUUAAAAAAUAAUUAAAGGGUUAUUUACAUUGAUUUUGUUGCUUAACUUCUUGCAUUCAUUAUCUGUAUGAAGAAAUUAUUAAAUGCAAAAAAUAAUUUAUGAAUCA